AGCGAACGCUGGCGGCAGGCUUAACACAUGCAAGUCGAGCGGGCAUAGCAAUAUGUCAGCGGCAGACGGGUGAGUAACGCGUGGGAACGUACCUUUUGGUUCGGAACAACACAGGGAAGCUUGUGCUAAUACCGGAUAAGCCCUUACGGGGAAAGAUUUAUCGCCGAAAGAUCGGCCCGCGUCUGAUUAGCUAGUUGGUGAGGUAAUGGCUCACCAAGGCGACGAUCAGUAGCUGGUCUGAGAGGAUGAUCGGCCACAUUGGGACUGAGACACGGCCCAAACUCCUACGGGAGGCAGCAGUGGGGAAUAUUGGACAAUGGGCGCAAGCCUGAUCCAGCCAUGCCGCGUGAGUGAUGAAGGCCCUAGGGUUGUAAAGCUCUUUUGUGCGGGAAGAUAAUGACGGUACCGCAAGAAUAAGCCCCGGCUAACUUCGUGCCAGCCGCCGCAGUAA
rnacentral:rRNA from 1 species